GCGCGUCCUGCCCCUCGGGGGGUUCGGGGGGGCUCCGCCACCCACGGCGCGAGCGGCGGCACCCCGGAUCCCGCGGCAGCAUUCCAAGGAAUCCGGGGCUGGCUCCGCUCCCCGGGCCCGUUCCCGUCUGCAGCUGGAAUGCGGCGGGCCGGGAGCUGCGGCCAAUUCCAGCGGCGGUUCCUCUCCCGUAACUCGAUCCCACAUCCCUGGAGGCGUCCCCGGCACUGACAGGUGGCCUGGCUGGCAGCUCCGUGGUGCCUGAGCAAACAAUUCCAUGGGGAGAGGAGCCGGGGCCAAUUCCCUGCCGGCUGCGGGUUGAACCCUCAUUAACAGCCGGCGCUAAUUGCGCUCCGUGCAGGGGCCGGGCCAACGCGGAGCUGGCAGGAAAAGCUGCGGGCUC
rnacentral:lncRNA from 1 species